rnacentral:misc_RNA from 1 species
GAUGUGUGGAAGCCUGAGUUCUGCUUUGGAAUUAUUGGCUGCAUCACCAUAUUGUCUGUCAAUUGAGAAAGCCUAUGUAAUAGGAGGUGGUCAAAUAUUAAGGGAAGCUCUCAAUGCACCUGGAUGUGAUGCUAUCCACAUUACAGAAAUUGAGACAAACAUUGAUUGUGAUACUUUUAUCCCUACAAUUGAUUCCUCUGUCUUUCAGCCUUGGUACUCAUCCUUUCCCAUGGUAGAAAACAACAUACGAUAUUGCUUUGCAACUUAUGUUCGAGUGAGGAGUACUGCAGUGGAAUCCAAUGGUCAAAACAAUGGUCUGAGCGCUGAUGUUGGUUCAGAAAAUAGUAAGUUUGAGGUAAAGAAGUUUUCUUUCCUUCCUAAGAUGGUUUUUGAGAGACAUGAGGAGUUCUUUUAUCUUAGACUUGUUCAAGACAUCAUCUCAGAUGGCAUUUUGAAGGAUGACAGAACUGGAACUGGUA